GACGAACGCUGGCGGCAGGCCUAACACAUGCAAGUCGAGCGAAGCCUUCGGGCUUAGCGGCGGACGGGUGAGUAACGCGUGGGAACGUGCCCUUUGGUACGGAAUAGCCCCGGGAAACUGGGAGUAAUACCGUAUGUGGUCGAGAGACGAAAGAUUUAUCGCCAAAGGAUCGGCCCGCGUUGGAUUAGGUAGUUGGUGGGGUAAUGGCCUACCAAGCCGACGAUCCAUAGCUGGUUUGAGAGGAUGAUCAGCCACACUGGGACUGAGACACGGCCCAGACUCCUACGGGAGGCAGCAGUGGGGAAUCUUAGACAAUGGGGGAAACCUUGAUCUAGCCAUGCCGCGUGAUCGAUGAAGGCCUUAGGGUUGUAAAGAUCUUUCAGUGGGGAAGAUAAUGACUGUACCCACAGAAGAAGCCCCGGCUAACUCCGUGCCAGCCGCCGCGGUAAGAC
rnacentral:rRNA from 1 species